rnacentral:rRNA from 1 species
AUAAUCAGUUGGCCUUUAAUUGGGGUCUAGUAUGAAUGGGGGAACGGAUAGAGACUGUCUCUUUAAAGUAAAAUGAAUUUUCUUAAGUGGUGAAAAUUCCACUAAAUAAAAAAAAAGACGAGAAGACCCUUAGAGUUUAAAGAAAAAUGAAUGUGUUUCAUAAUCAAUUUGUUGGGGCAACAAAGUUAGCAUAAAAUCAACUUAAAAUUUAAUUUAACAGGCCAACAAAUUGUAAGAACGAUAAAUUACCUUAGGGAUAACAGCAUAAUUUUUAAAAGAUUGU